AUUGAACGCUGGCGGAAUGCUUUACACAUGCAAGUCGAACGGCAGCACGGACUUCGGUCUGGUGGCGAGUGGCGAACGGGUGAGUAAUACAUCGGAACGUGCCCAGUCGUGGGGGAUAACGUAGUGAAAAUUACGCUAAUACCGCAUACGAUCUAUGGAUGAAAGCGGGGGAUCGCAAGACCUCGCGCGAUUGGAGCGGCCGAUAUCAGAUUAGGUAGUUGGUGGGGUAAAGGCCCACCAAGCCAACGAUCUGUAGCUGGUCAGAGAGGACGACCAGCCACACUGGAACUGAGACACGGUCCAGACUCCUACGGGAGGCAGCAGUGGGGAAUUUUGGACAAUGGGCGAAAGCCUGAUCCAGCCAUUCCGCGUGCAGGAUGAAGGCCCUCGGGUUGUAAACUGCUUUUGUACAGAACGAAAAGGUUUCUACUAAUACUAGGAGCUCAUGACGGUACUGUAAGAAUAAGCACCGGCUAACUACGUGCCAGCAGCCGCGGUAA
rnacentral:rRNA from 1 species